GAAAUUGAGGUCACGAAGGAAGGAGUUCGGAAUGCGCGGGCGAAUAAACAGCUCGAGGAAAAGCAGCAAAAGAAGGCUGAACGUGAAGGCUUUCUUAGAGCCGAAGCUCACUCAAGCGCAUACUCGCAGACAAGGCUAUGCACACCGCUGAGAAAGCUACGCGGUCCGAGGUGUGGCGUUUGAUCGUGCAGAGGCAAGCCGCACUCGAAGACAAGGUCCAAAGCUCUGAACGUAAUUGGUGAAUGUAAAACCGUAUGUCUACAAUUAGAAAAAGAGAAAUUCGAAAAACUUAAACAAGAGGCUCUGUUGCUAAAGAAGAAAACAUUUCUUGAGCGACAGGCGUUGGGGCAAUCCACCUCUUACGUGUUCGAGACAAGCGAACACGGGAAGACAGCCUUACAUUGCAAACUCGCGAAGACACACGACGGGAGAACAAGAGCCUGCCGGUCUGAGAGAAACACGCGGAUUAACGUACGGCGGCCAACAUGACUUGUCGCACAGUGAGCUUCCUAUUGACCUUUAAAGGGGUCAUCAAGUCGAUCAAGUAGCUGUCAAUCGGAGGUCAAUGCGAGGACGUCCAAAGCUCAGCAAAGUUCAUCGAAGUACAUUCUUGCUAUCUUUCUUAUUUAAGUAUAAUUAUUACUGUUAUAUUUUAGCAUUUCAUUAUUAUUUAUGAUAAUAG